rnacentral:tRNA from 1 species
ACUACUUUGGCAGAUAAGUGCGGUAAAUUUAGAAUUUAUUUAUGUAGGUUUUUCUACAUGUAGUA